AGAAUGAACGUUGGCGGCGUGGAUUAGGCAUGCAAGUCGUACGGGCCGCAAGGCCAGUGGCGCAAGGGUGAGUAAGGCGACGGUAACCAACCCCAUGACUGGGUAUAGCCGCGGGAAACUGCGGGUAAUCCCCAGCGACGUCCCGGGGGGGCAUCCCCUGGGGACCAAAGCUCCGGCGUCGUGGGACGGGCCGUCGUGGUAUUAGGUUGUUGGCGGGGUAAUGGCCCACCAAGCCUGCGAUGCCUACCGGGCGUGCGAGCGUGGCCCGGCACACUGGGACUGAGACACUGCCCAGACUCCUACGGGAGGCUGCAGUCGAGAAUCUUCGGCAAUGGGCGCAAGCCUGACCGAGCGACGCCGCGUGGAGGAUGAAGGCCUUCGGGUUGUAACUCCUGUCGAGGGGAGAAGGGUCGAAAGACCUUGACUUAUCCCUGGAGGAGCACGGGCUAAGUUCGCGCCAGCAGCCGC
rnacentral:rRNA from 1 species